rnacentral:rRNA from 1 species
CCAAUAGCGUAUAUUAAAGUUGUUGCAGUUAAAAAGCUCGUAGUUGAAUUUCAGGCCUGGCUGGACGGUCCGCCCUUCGGGUGAGUACUGUCUGUGGUCGGGUCCUACCUUCUGGCGAAGCGUCAUGGCCUUAACCGGCCGUGGCGGGGAACCAGUACUUUUACUGUGAAAAAAUUAGAGUGUUCAAAGCAGGCAAUCGCUUGGAUACAUUAUCAUGGAAUAAUUGACUAGGAAAAUGGUUCUUUUUGUUGGUUUCUAGGACCGUUGUAAUGAUUAAUAGGGAUAGUUGGGGGCAUUAGUAUUCAAUUGUCAGAGGUGAAAUUCUUGGAUUUAUUGAAGACUAACUACUGCGAAAGCAUUUGCCAAGGAUGUUUUCAUUAAUCAAGAACGAAAGUUAGGGGAUCGAAGACGAUCAGAUACCGUCGUAGUCUUAACCAUAAACUAUGCCGACUAGGGAUCGGAUGAUGUUAAUUUUUUAAUGACUCAGUCGGCGCCUUACG